rnacentral:rRNA from 1 species
AGAGUUUGAUCCUGGCUCAGGACGAACGCUGGCGGCGUGCUUAACACAUGCAAGUCGAGCGGAAAGGCCCUUCGGGGUACUCGAGCGGCGAACGGGUGAGUAACACGUGAGCAAUCUGCCCCUAGCUUCGGGAUAGCUCCGGGAAACCGGAAUUAAUACCGGAUAUGACCAAGGCUGACAUCAGCCGCGGUGGAAAGUUU